GUAAGCUGUCGCUAUGGGAUGGCCCGCGGUGCAUUAGCUAGUUGGUAAGGUAAAGGCUUACCAAGGCGAUGAUGCAUAGCCCGAGUUGAGAGACUGAUCGGGCCACAUUGGGGACUUGGAGACACGGGGCCCAAACUCCUACGGGGGGAGGGGCAGGCAGUAGGGGGAAGUCUUCCACAAUGGACGCAAGUCUGAUGGAGCAACGCCGCGUGAGUGAAGAAGGUUUUCGGUAUCGUAAAGCUCUGUUGUUGGUGAAGAAGGAUAGAGGUAGUAACUGGCCUUUAUUUGACGGUAAUCAACCAGAAAGUCACGGCUAACUACGUGCCAGCAGCCGCGGUAAU
rnacentral:rRNA from 1 species